GAUGAACGCUGGCGGCGUGCUUAACACAUGCAAGUCGAACGGAAAGGCUCCUGCUUGCAGGGGUACUCGAGUGGCGAACGGGUGAGUAACACGUGGGUGAUCUGCCCAGCACUUCGGGAUAAGCCUGGGAAACUGGGUCUAAUACCGGAUAGGACGAUGGUUUGGAUGUCAUUGUGGAAAGUUUUUUCGGUGUGGGAUGAGCUCGCGGCCUAUCAGCUUGUUGGUGGGGUAAUGGCCUACCAAGGCGUCGACGGGUAGCCGGCCUGAGAGGGUGUACGGCCACAUUGGGACUGAGAUACGGCCCAGACUCCUACGGGAGGCAGCAGUGGGGAAUAUUGCACAAUGGGCGCAAGCCUGAUGCAGCGACGCCGCGUGGGGGAUGACGGCCUUCGGGUUGUAAACUCCUUUCGCUAGGGACGAAGCGCAAGUGACGGUACCUGGAGAAGAAGCACCGGCUAACUACGUG
rnacentral:rRNA from 1 species